AUGCAGAUUCUUUUUCGAGAAAACGCAAAUGGCUUUUGCGUUUCAUUGCAUUGGAAAGGAAGGGGAAUAUACAUCCUCCUAGGAGGUAGUUUUACACAGCCAAGGGGGCCUCAGUGGACAUCCCAGGAUGGUGGCAAAACGACCCUGAGCCCUUGGGCUCCGGCCUUUGCCCAACAUUUGGUCUCGUCUUUGAUCCUGUCUACAAGCUCAUUCAGCGAAGGCCUCACAUGGUCGAAAACACACGCGUUCCUAUGCUGGCGGUGUGGAUUCCUUAGCGCGCAGCCACCAAUCCAUGAGCGAGCCGUCGUGGUCGGGCGUCGGUGCCGGUAG
rnacentral:rRNA from 1 species